GAGUCGGGGGAAACCCGUC
rnacentral:snRNA from 1 species